rnacentral:rRNA from 1 species
UACGUAGGGUGCGAGCGUUGUCCGGAAUUAUUGGGCGUAAAGGGCUCGUAGGCGGUCUGUCGCGUCGGGUGUGAAAACUCAGGGCUUAACCCUGAGCCUGCUUCCGAUACGGGCAGACUAGAGGUAUGCAGGGGAGAACGGAAUUCCUGGUGUAGCGGUGAAAUGCGCAGAUAUCAGGAGGAACACCGGUGGCGAAGGCGGGUCUCUGGGCCGAUACUGACGCUGAGGAGCGAAAGCGUGGGGAGCGAACAGG